rnacentral:lncRNA from 1 species
CUUCCUUCCGCACUUCCUUCCUUCCGCACUUCCUUCCUUCCUUCCGCACUUCCUUCCGCACUUCCUUCCACACUUCCCUCCCUCCCUCCUUCCCUCCUGUAUUCCAAGCUGAAGUAACUUUCUGUCAAAGAACAUCGAAACUCAUGAGCUGCAGAAACAACAGACAGCUCAAAGCACAGAAGAACAAGGAGGCAGAUAUAUAUCUAUAUCAAGACCACAUCUGAAGAGCUUAGAUCUAACAAGCAAGAGCAGCAGACUUUGGGUCUCUAUUAAAAGAGUGUGAAAAUUAAUAUUAUAAAGCCUCAUUUGUUAAAACAUGAGUGAAGGAAAAAUAACCCUUCUUGAAAAGUAAUCAAAGAAAAGAUUUGAUUUUUUUUUUUUGUGCGAGACUGAAUUUUUAUAUUUCUGUUGAUAAAACCCAAAGAUCCUUCACAGCAGCAACAGAUGCAGAAGUUACUUGCAGAAAUGAUACCUCUUCUUAAUCUGUUUGUAUACCCAAAUGAUCAGAUGUUCCAGGUAAUUGACCAAUCAAACCAUUCAGCAGUUAAUUUAAUUUGAAGUUUCUUUCAUAACACUUAACUUUCAACCAUGACACAUUUUCUUAGAAUCCUGGAAACUAAAAUAAUGAAGUUUCAUUGAAUUAGGUAAAUGCAAAUCUUCUUAAAAUUUUGGAAACACUGAAAAAUAAGAAAGCUGUAACAAACAAAAACUGCAGAGAUUGUAACAAUUUGCUGAUUUACCAACAAUACAAUUUGCAAAGCUCCUAAUUUUUGAAUUGUCUAAUUAAAACUCUCUCUUUUUUAUCUUUCUCUGAGAUGUCCAGCUUUUUGUUGUUUCUUUUUUGUUUUUGUUGCUUUUGGUAGUUUUACCGAAGUUGCUUUAGUUGUUUCACAUGGCGACAGCGUUUCUGGCUGCUGUGUGCAAACCGUCCACACCGGGUUGGUUUUGAAUCUGAGAAAAAACUCUAAAAACUUAUAUUUAAGGAGAAACAUCUUUUCAGGAGAUAAAUCCCUUUUUGGGCGAUUGCUGUUUGUGUCAGAAACGGACCCUGAGAUCAAGAGUCUCGGGCUCUACCGGCUGAGCCAGCCAGGCCAACUUCUCGAACUUUCCGGGCUUGGCUUCAGUGCCGAAACGCACAUGUGCAACCCGACACGGGACCCCACCAAUCUCCGCUCCCUGAGGGCCGGGUCCUCCUCAGGCGUCAUGGAUCGCGGCACCGGUCUCCCUGCGGGGUGUGCCUUUGUAGCUUUGGCCAACCCCUUUUCUUUCGCUGUCUGGCUAUGGCAGCGUCCUAAUAUUUUUUUCUAAUCUCUCCCCCCCUCUGCUCGGGGUCACUCCGUGGCGCGGCCAUUCUGCCAUCUCCCGCCGCUCUUUGAAGCCGCUCCUCUGGGCAGCCUUCAGGGUCGCCUGCUGAGCGAACACCUCCCCGCCCCGCCCCGUGUCCCCCUCUUGGGUGGACACACCUUCAGCAGUCUUUUCUAACAUCUCUAUGUUAUUAAAUUCGUCAGAGGGCGGGGUAAGCUCCCUCCCUCACUCUGGCUCCUCUGACGUGCAUGGAGGGUGCAGGGUAGGGGGCUAUUCUAAAGGUGUGGUUUCAGAAACAGCGUGGAACUUUUCUAACUUUUUUUUUCUAUCCCCCCCCCGCGAUUUCUUCGGACUACAAUAAUUUCAAAAAGACUCUAUAUAGAACAUCCUAUCUCUCCAUGCAAGUUUUUUAACCUCCAACAAUAUAACAAACUGCUCACUCUGCUUUCUGAAGUAACACAAAUUUCCCGGUGCUCAAUUUUCCCUCGCAUUUCUCUCUCGUCCCCCCACGUUCUCUGAAGGGACAGGGAUAGGGGUACCAUGCCGCUGGGGAAUUUUCUGGGUUUCCCACGCUUUCAGAAAGGGCAGUUCAUCCCCCCACAUUCCCGGGGCUCCUAUCUCUUUAAACCUCAUAUUUACAUUUUCCCCCAUAUCAUGGGUUUAAACAAUCUCUCUUUAUAAAUACUCCAUCCCAUUAUCUAGACCGUAUACAGCUUACCAGACCUGUUGGCCAUCUUCAGAUUACUGACCAGCAGAAUCCAAUGUUCCGUGUCCAGGGCCCUUGGAAUUUCGGAAUGUGAUAGCAGAUGUUUUUCUCCAGACAGAUUUCUUUUAGGAACUGGUUGCUGUGAUCUUGCAGGUGUUGACUGAAGCUUCUGUGAGUUUUUGUCUCCUCACACAGGGCACCAUUUGUAAUGUCUAUUUCUUUGCCUCCUUUGGGCUGAAUUCUCUGUGGAUACAACUUUUAUCUAGUCUUUCAGCCUCCUUUGGGCUGAAUUCUUCU